rnacentral:rRNA from 1 species
UACAGAGGUCUCAAGCGUUGUUCGGAUUCAUUGGGCGUAAAGGGUGCGUAGGCGGCGCGGUAAGUCGGGUGUGAAAUCUCGGGGCUUAACUCCGAAACUGCAUUCGAUACUGCCGUGCUUGAGGACUGGAGAGGAGACUGGAAUUUACGGUGUAGCGGUGAAAUGCGUAGAUAUUCGCAAGAACACCGGUGGCGAAGGCGGCUCACUGGCUCAUUACUGACGCUCAGGCGCGAUAGCGUGGGGAUCAAACAGG